AAAAAUGUAUUACUUGUUAGUACGGGAUUUCACUGAUGGAACAUCAAUCACACUUGAUCAAUAAAAGAGAUUCAAUUCAAUUCAAUCACACUUGCCGACGGCAUGCACAAUUCAAUUUUUGAUAACCGCAAAGGUUAGUAGUAAAUAAAAGAGAUUCUAUUCAUCUAAGUGGACAUGGAGAAAAACAAUUGGAUUCAAUUAAUCAUGCAUGUGGUCUUUUGCUUAGGAUACUAAUUAUUUCCCAGUUUCAAACGUAGGAACAUUGAAAAAUCAAAGGACUCGGGGGCUAUGAGGAAACAAAAAUAAAAAUGAGGUUAAAAUUACAUGUUAGUUCAUCAAAAUUGGGGUUUGGGUCUACUUGGUCCUAAACUAUAAAAAAUAUUUAAUAAAUUUCUAAACUUUCAAUUUUGUGUCUAGUACAUACAUGAAUUUUUAAAAAUUUGAAAGUUCCAAGAACUAGAUGGACACAAACCUCAAGGUUUAGGAACUAAAUUUGCAAUUAAACUUAUUUGACCUGAAAAGGUCUCUUCCAAACAUUCAAAUGCAUUACAAGAUUUUUUUUCUUAUUUAAAAAAAAUGUUUCCAAGAAAAAAUCGGAUCGGUAAAGGACCCAUUUCAGAGGAUCAAGGCUUCAUCAUAAGCACAAUUCACUAGACAACCUUGAUCUAUUAUUGGUUACGAUAUAGCACUAGCCUCUUGAGUACCUUUAGUAUUUGAGUAUCUUUUCUAAUAUUUGUUCUAUUUUAUUUCCUUGAUAAAAUUCAAAAGAGAUAAUAAAUUGUGGUUCCAUUUAAUUAGGUGGGAUAUUUUUUUGAAGAUUAGCGAGAAGGGGGCACACUAAAGUAUGCGCAGCUCCCUUGAAAAAAUGUCAAUGGCAUUCCCCACUCAAAAAUGAUUGCUACUCAAGGCAUGAGGUCAUUGACCAUUGUGAAUACGGGUAUCAUUGAACCGGGUGGUAUUAUUUGUUAAGCUAUAGUGAUCGGAGAUUUUUGUAUUUCGAUCCUUGACAUCUACCUGCAGCUUUUUUUCUCUUAGUUGAUUGUCCCUUCAGUUUGUCAAAUUCCUUCACAUUCUCCUUAAAUCUUCAAAACAGUAAAACUUUCUUGAGUGGUCACAGAUUCCUAGUUAAAGUGUUAUUCAGAAGCAGUUCAGUUCAGGAUACACUUUUUCACUAUACUAGUAUAAAAUUCUUUUGUAGAGAUUUUUUAGCCUUUUGGUCAAAUGUUGGACUAUGUUCUGUUUCUUAAACCUUUCUAAGAUAGAGAUAAGACUCCUUGGAAGGAAGUUAGUUUGGUUACUUCGCAGAACAUAUAGCUCCAGAGGAAUAGAAUGAUAUUUUGGGGGAUAGCAGGGUUUUGGAGAGAGGCCAGAUUGGUCGGCUUCUUUUUACAAGUUUACUUUCUUGUGAAGUUGGUUUUUCAUUAAAUAAUCAUUUUUAAAAAAUAACUGAAACCAACUUGUUUCUUAUAAGGAUCCAAAUCCAUAUGCAUUAUUGGCUAUAAACUUCCUUCUUUAUAAGAUGAUGUUAAAUCAUUUAACAUAUAGCGUCCUUGCAUUUGUCCUUCUUUGUUAGAAAUAACAUGUAACAGAAUUUCCUUGUGAGGUCUAGUUUGUGUUGUAUUCUAUGCCUGUACUUUGAGAUCAAAU
rnacentral:lncRNA from 1 species